CAGGAAUAGAAGCAGAGGAGACAGCAACGGAAAAUAUUCAGAUGCAGAACUCUCAGCUCCUUCUUCGACACCACACCUGCCCAGAUGAGAAAUCCCCAUCACUGAGCUGGAACAGAUGGUUCAGAUCCUCUCCUCUCACCUCACAAACCCCGACGUCAUCAUCUACGGCCGCCUGGUUCACACUCUGACCCUGACUUCCUAACUGAAUUGUACCUGCAAGACCUACGGUUUCCACUCACCUCAAUGCAUAGGCAUGCUGAUCUAUGCCUGAAACACACAACCGACAAUCAAUUUACUUCUUUCAUUCCAAUGUCUAUCCAUGGUUUACUUAACAAAAGGCUUGGGUA